rnacentral:rRNA from 1 species
AGAGUUUGAUCCUGGCUCAGGAUGAACGCUAGCGGGAGGCUUAACACAUGCAAGCCGAGGGGUAUAUAAUUGCUUGCAAUUAUAGAGACCGGCGGAUGGGUGAGUAACGCGUAUGAAACCUGCCCUAUUCAUCAGGAUAGCCCUAGGAAACUGGGAUUAAUACUGAAUAACACUAUUAUCGGCAUCGAUAUUAGUUAAAAGAUUUAUCGGAAUAGGAUGGUCAUGCGUCAGAUUAGUUAGUUGGUAGGGUAACGGCCUACCAAGGCGAUGAUCUGUAGGGGGCCUGAGAGGGUGAUCCCCCACACUGGUACUGAGACACGGACCAGACUCCUACGGGAGGCAGCAGUGAGGAAUAUUGGACAAUGGGUGAGAGCCUGAUCCAGCCAUCCCGCGUGCAGGAAGAAUGCCUUAUGGGUUGUAAACUGCUUUUAUACAGGAAUAAACCACUUUACGUGUAAGGUGUUGAAGGUACUGUAUGAAUAAGCAUCGGCUAACUCCGUGCCAGCAGCCGCGGUAAUACGGAGGAUGCAAGCGUUAUCCGGAUUUAUUGGGUUUAAAGGGUCCGUAGGCGGGCAUAUAAGUCAGAGGUGAAAUCCGACAGCUUAACUGUCGAACUGCCUUUGAAACUGUAUGUCUUGAGUGAGAUUGAAGCAGCUGGAAUGUGUAGUGUAGCGGUGAAAUGCAUAGAUAUUACACAGAACACCGAUAGCGUAGGCAGGUUGCUAAGUCUUUACUGACGCUGAUGGACGAAAGCGUGGGGAGCAAACAGGAUUAGAUACCCUGGUAGUCCACGCCGUAAACGUUGGAUACUGUCUAUUGGAAUUUUCAGUGGAUAAGCGAAAGUGAUAAGUAUCCCACCUGGGGAGUACGUUCGCAAGAAUGAAACUCAAAGGAAUUGACGG